GUGUGGGAGUCCCAGUGGUAUAUGCACAGUAGAUACUAGCAAAAGUUAAAUUUUCUUGUAUUUUCUUAUCUUUCAACAUGCCAUACACAUAGAGAGGCAUCUCAUACUGCCUAGCCUAUACUCACUGUAGCAAGCACCCCCUCUCUAAUAGCCUGCAAUCUUUUAAACUGCAUGUCUCGAAAGUCCCUGCCAAUAAGCAUGUAAAGCAUAGAUUGUUUACAC